rnacentral:lncRNA from 1 species
GUCAUCAAUCUUUGCUCACCAUAAAACUUUUGUCCAUACUUCUUUUUCGUUGAAUUUUUUAUGUAUCAACAUUCUAUUGAUUAGCAAAUUUUAUCUUUUUUGAUGGUUUCAUUUAAAAUACCUUUUUUGUGCUUUAAAAUGAGGGAAAAUAUUUUGUCACAUUUUUUCAUUUAUUAUUUUUUAAAAUAUGAUUAAAAAAUUAGUUAUUUUACACUUUCGAACGGAGUUGUUUGACAAAAACAAUUAUAAAAUAUGAGAUGUGCUAAUUAAUAAAAUGUUAAAAAUAAAAGUGCGUAAAAAAUAACGUUAAGGACAUAAGGAUUACAAUAAGCAAAGAUUGAGGAUCUUAGAUGAAAUUAAAAUGUGGUGUAACAAAUAAAAAAUGUAAAGUGAAUAUAAUUACCCUUACCGGAAUAUAUCUAAAUGUUUGCAUUUUUACUUGAUCUUUAGAGGUUUCUUUUUAGACUUUUAGUUGGCAUCUUAUAGUGGCACCCUCCCUUUCCCCACCCCAAACUUUAAAUAAAUAAUAAAAGGGCAAUUAGCAUAAAACAUCCUUACCUUUCAAUAUUAUUGUGCAAAACAUCCCUACAUUUCAUUUUUUGGCAUCUUCACCCUUUCCUUCACUUUUUAUUGAAGAAAUCCUCAUUUUCAUCAAAUUUCUUGUAUAAAAUAACAAAUAUACCCCCUAUUUAAAUAAAGCAAUAAAAAAGAAAAGAAAAAUUAAAGAAUAAAUUGCAAUCAUACUCUCAAACUUUUUUUAAAAAGUGCAAAUUAGUCCAAAUAAAUUAUUAUAAAGGUAAUUAAUACAAAACGUCCAUACCUUUUAUUAUUAUUGUGUAAUGUCCCUACUAUUCAUUUUUUGACAUUUUCACCCUUAUUUUUAUAUUUCAUUGCAAAAAUCAUUAUUUUCAUUCAUUUUCUCAAUUAAAAGCUAUAAAAUUAUAAAUAUAUACUCCUCUUUAAAUAAAGAAAAAUAAAGAAAAGAAAAAUAAGAACAAAUUGCAACUAUACUCCCAAAAUUAUCAAAAAAAGUACAAAUAAAUUUCAAAUAAAUAAUUAAAAAAUAUAGUGAAUAUAGUUGCAAUUUGUUCUUUAUUUUUCUUUUCUUUCUUUUUGUUUAUUUAAAGAGGAGGGUAUAUUUGUCAUUUGCCAGCUUUUAAUUGAGAAAUUUGAUGAAAAUAACAAUUUUCCUAAUGAAAUAUGAAAUGAGGGUGAAAAUUUAAAAAAAUGAAAAGUAAGGACGUUUUGCACAAUAAUAUUGAAAGAUAGGGACAUUUUGUGCUAAUUACCCUUUUAAUAAUUUAUUUGGACUCAUUUGCACUUAUUAAAAAAGUUUGGGAGUAUAAUUGCAAUUUAUUCUUUAACUUUUUCUGGUUUAUUGUUUUAUUUAAAUGGGGGUAUUCUUGUCAUUUUACAUGAGAAAUUUGAUGAAAAUGAUGAUUUUCACAAUAAAAAGCGAAGGUAAGGGUGAAAAUGUCAAAAAAUGAAAGGUAUGAAUGUUUUGCACAAUAACAUUGAAAAAUAAGGACGUUUUGUAUUAAUUACCCAAGAAUAAAACCUCCCGAAAAAACUGAAAAAUAUUAAAAUGGACUAUAAGUCAAGGAAGAAGAAAAAAUGUGUGGGGAGAAUAUGAAAGGUUUGUGCUCUUUGAUCAUUGUAUUAUGUAAACCUCUAUAUGAUGAUUGAUUGGUUAAGAACUUAAAUAUCAUGUUUGUGACAACUGGGAAUGUGAUAGACGAAGGAAAGAAAAUUGCACUGAAUAAAUCUGAAAAUAACAAACGGGUACAAGACUCCACUCUCAGGCAUCCUCUCUCUUCUCACUUAAUUCGAUGCCUUCUACUAUUCCCCACCCCCUUACAUAUACCCUUCUCCUAAUCAACUCAACAGAAUAGCUAACCACCUAACUACAGAGAGAGAUGCAGCUUUAUUCUAGAAACUACCGGCAUGCCAUGCUGUAAUAUAGUUAUCUUCCAUGUUACUUGGUCCCCUUACGUCUUGUGUAUGUAAUUUUUUUAAUUGGGCUUGGGCUUGGGCUUAUCAACCCCCCCCCCCCAAAGCAGUCACCUUGUCCGCAAGGUGCAGAGAAGGAAAUUGCUGGUUAAACAAAUCAAAUGGCUCCCAUGUGGCUUCCACAGGUGAGAGUCUCUUCCACUGUAUCAGGACUUCCAUUCCUCCUGUUGUUCCCUGCUUUGAGUAUCUGAAACUUGGAACAUAUUCUGGUUCUACAAGCAACUCCCAGUCAUCUCCAAGUUGUUGGGGCAGUGGUGUGACAAUCGGUGUAGCUCCCCUUACUUUCUUCAACUGUGAAACAUGAAAAUUCGGAUGGAUUCGAGUGUUUUCGGGCAACGCUAGACGGUAGGCUACCUUCCCCACUUUUUCCAAGACCUCAAAGGGCCCAUAAAACCUCGGGGCUAGCUUUUCAUUAGCACGAGUUACUAACGACAUGCGCCUGUAGGGCCUCAUCUUUAAAUACACCCUAUCACCCACUGCAUAUUCAACCUCUCGCCUGUACUUAUCUGCUGCCAACUUCAUCUGUUGCUGUGCUUUAUGUAAGUGGACUUUUAGUUCAUCCAGCACCUUAUCUCGUUCCAACAUUUGCUGUUCAAGGGACGACACAGCUAUAACCCCCUUCUCGAAGUGAAGGAAAAGGGGAGGAUCGCGCCCAUACAAAAUGCGAAAAGGAGUCAGCUUUGCCGCCACAUCAUAGGAAGUAUUGUAGGAAUAUUCAGCCCAGUGUAAGUAUUGGUACCAUUGCUUCGGCCUGACUGAUGUAAAGCAUCUCAGGUAUGUCUUCAUUCCCCUGUUCACAACCUCCGUUUGCCCGUCAGUCUCGGGGUGAUAGGCCGAACUGUGUUUCAAUGAAGUUCCUUGCAAUCUGAAAAGUUCACUCCAAAACUUACUUAAAAAAUACCUUAUCCCGGUCAGAAAUUAUGGUACGAGGCAGCCUAUGUAAUUUCACUAUUUCCUUGGUAAAGAGUGCCGCCACUGAGGGGGCUGAAAAAGGAUGUUUCAACCCAAUGAAGUGUGCAUAUUUACUCAAAUCGGUCCACCACGACAAAGAUGGAAUUGAACCCGUCCGAUUUGGGAAGCCCCUCCACAAAAUCCAUGGAAAUGUCUUCCAAUACUUGGUUCGGAAUUGGAAACGGCUGGAGCAACCCAGCUGGGGUGAGGGUCGAGUACUUAUGUUGUUGACAGAUCGCACAAGCAGCAACAUAAGCCUGAAUGUUCUUCCUCAUCCCUUUCCAAAAGAAAGUUUCUGCCAACCUUCUAUAAGUUUUUAAGAAACCUCCAUGUCCUCCGACCUUACUAUCAUGUCCUUCAUGUAAGGCCAACUGCAAAAGUGGUGAUUUCCUUGGCAACACCAGCCGGUCAUGGUACAGUAAGUGGCCUCGUACCAAAGGAUAACCAGGAGGAGCAACCUCCCCCUUCUGCAAGGAGGUGACCAAAGCGCCAAAUUCCUUGUCAUCACUUAUAGCCUUUCGGACUAUGUCCAAUUCCAUGGUGCAGGGUACACUCAUGGCCAUGAUAGUUGUGGUCGCAUCAAUCCUUGAUAGUGCAUCUGCAGCCUUGUUCUCCAUUCCUGCCUUAUAUUCAAUAUCAAAAUCGAACCCCAAGAGCUUAGUAAGCCAUUUCUGAUAUUCCUGAUUCACUUCUCGCUGCUCCAAUAAGAAUUUAAGGCUACGUUGGUCGGUUCGAAUGAUGAAUCUCCUUCCAACAGGUAGUGCUUCCACUUUUGAAUUGCCAUGACAAUGGCCAUAAGUUCCCGUUCAUAAAUUGAUUUGCUCCGAGCCCUCUGGGGAAGCACUUGGCUGAAAUAUGCGAUCGGUCGACGAUCUUGCAUAAGGACUGCCCCUAUCCCAUAUCCGGAGGCGUCGGUUUCCACAAUAAAUGGUUGUGUGAAGUUGGGCAGCCCCAACACCGGUACAGUCAUCAUGGCAGUUUUCAAUUUCAGGAAGGCUGCUUCUGCCUCUUCAUUCCACCCAAAGUUGUUCUUCUUCAAUUGUUGUGUUAACGGCCAUGCAAUGCUUCCAUAUGACUCCACAAAUCGACGGUAAUACCCUGUGAGUCCCAAGAAUCCUCUCAGCUCCCUAAUAGAUUUUGGUCUGGGCCAUUCUCUCAUGGCCGCUACCUUGGAUUCGUCGGCUGACACCGCUUUUUCUGAUACAAUAUGCCCUAGAUAUUCCAACUCCGUUUGCCCGAAUAGACACUUCUUUUGGUUGGCAUACAACUGAUUGUCCCUUAACACUUGUAGUACCCUACGAAGAUGAUCCCGAUGUUCCUCGAUAGUGCGGCUGUAGACCAGGAUGUCAUCAAAAAACACCAAAACGAAUUUUCGGAGAUAGCUCCUAAAAAUCUCGUUCAUGAGGGACUAGAAAGUUGCCGGGGCAUUUGUCAACCUGAAAGGCAUGACAAGGAACUCAUAGUGCCCUUCGUGAGUUCGAAAGGCAGUCUUAGGCACAUCUUCCGGCCGUACCUGAAUUUGGUGAUAACCUGAUUUCAGGUCUAAUUUUGAAAAGACUGUGGCGCCAAAAAGUUCAUGGAGCAGCUUAUCAAUCACUGGAAUUGGAAAUUUAUUAGGAACGGUCACUUUGUUUAAGGCUCGAUAAUCGACGCAGAAUCUCCAACUCCCAUCCUUCUUCUUUACCAACAAUACUGGACUUGAAAAUGGGCUAAUGCUUUGCUGUAUGAAGCCUGCAGCUAACAACUCUUGUACCAAUCGUUCAAUUUCACCCUUCUGAAAAUGCGGGUACCUGUAAGGCCUUACACUGAUCGGCGCUGUUCCUAGUUGCAAGGUAAUAGCGUGGUCACGAUUCCUUGAUUGGGGGGGGGGGGCUGUUGGGCAUCUCAAAGACGGGUGCAAAUUCCCUCAACACUUCUGAAAUCAUAUUCGGAGUUUUCUGGCACCCGUGCAUGAAGUGAACAUCAAUAUUCCCCAACUCCAGAAUUGCCCCUCCUUGAGACUUAAGUGCCUUGAACAUGGACUUCAAGGACACAGAUGUUUUGCUCAAACCGGAGUCCCCUUUUAUCUUCACCUUCACGCCGGCCACCAUGAAAGUCAUGGUGAGAGUCUGCCAGUUAACCUGCAUAUCCCCUAGUUUACGCAACCACUGCAUACCCAAGAUAACGUCGGAGCUCCCCAGUUCUAACGGUAAAAAGUCCUCCUCCACUACCACACUCUGCAGCUGAAGCUUCACAUUCUGCAAAUCCCUUCUCCUUUUACUGUGAACCCAGUACCCAUGAUGACCCCGUAACCGGUUGUGCCCGAUAAGGGAAGUCACAACUGCUUGACCACUUCUUCCGAGAUGAAAUUGUGGGAGGCCCCACAGUCAAUUAAGAUGAUUACCUCCUUCGAGCCGAUCGAGCCUUUCAGUUUCAUAGUCUCCGGGGCAGUGAGACCUACUACCGAGUUAAGGGAUAGCUCGACCGAGGUUCCCACGCCGGUAACAUCAUCGUCGGAGCUUCCCGGUUGCUCGCCGGCAGUCGCUGUAUGGGGGCUGGACAGCACCUCCCAUUUUUCCAACCCUUCUCCACCUCCUCUGUCUUCUUCAUUUUCUCUAAUAACCAUAACCUGGAGCUCUUUAUUCUUGCAACGAUGACUGAUCACAAAAUUUUUCGUCACAUUUGUAGCACAACCCUUUUUCUCUCUUUGUCUGAAUCUCCGCAUCGAUCAGUCGCUUGAAGGGGUAAUUGAUUUUUGGGGGAGGUAGAACACGAGUAGGUAGGAUGUUUAGGGGCACCGACUGCCUUUGGGUUGUUUGUCCAUAAGAAUUAUUUUGGCCCCCUUUGAAUCUGGUUGGGCCAAAACUCCAUGGGCUGUGUUGGAUCAUUUGAUCCCUUUCUUCCACACGUUGGGCCACAUCCAUAAUCUGCUCGAGGCCCACUGGGUCUAUUAAUUGGACUUCCACCCUAAUCCUGGGAGUCAGCCCAUUGAUGAAGUUGCACUCCAAUACUUCCUCCGAUAUGUUCUGCAAGGGAGACGCCAAUUUUUCAAACUGUCGGUGGAAACUCCUUGACUGUGGCAAUCUGUCGCAGCGCCAAAAAUUGGGCACACAGGGAGCCGUCCUGCGUCGGACGAAAUCGGCGCAGUACACGCCCCUUCAGCUCUUCCCAAUUCCUCAUGGGUCGCAGUCGUUCUUCCCACUGGAACCAAGCUAAUGCAUCACCGUCCAAUCAAACGGCGGCUGCAUCCCAUUUCUCCUCCUCUGUCAUCCGAUUCACAUUAAAGUAUCGUUCCACCCUGAAAAUCCACCCAUCAGGGUCGCCUCCAUCAAACACAGGCAUGUCUAAUCGGCGGAUGCACGAUUCCGGCCUCCAUCCAUUGUCAAACCUACUUCCACUGUUCUGGCUGCCUUCAGAUCCCGCCUGUGCGCCGCUCGCAUUUGAGGGUGAGUUCGGAAUCUGGGGUUUGGCCACUCCCUUUUCCUUUCUCUCUCGCUCCAGAAUUUCCCAUGAUCGAAACAUCAAUUCGAAUUUUCCUUUCAAGUCGUCAUGAAAUUGCUGAAAUUCAGCUCGUAGAGCCUCCAUCCCAGUCUGUAGGGCUGAGUGAUUAGCCGCCACUUGUUGCUCCAAUUCCCCUACUCGAUCGGUAAGUGUCAUGGUGGUGCCGGUUGGAUCCAAUGCUCUGAUACCACUUUGAUAGAAGAAGGAAAGAAAAUUGCACUGAAUAAAUCUGAAAAUAACAAACGGGUACAAGACUCCACUCUCAGGUAUCCUCUCUCUUCUCACUUAAUUCGAUGCAUUCUACUAUUCCCCACCCCCUUACAUAUACCCUUCUCCUAACCAACUCAACAGAAUAGCUAACCACCUAACUACAGAGAGAGAUGCAGCUUUAUUCUAGAAACUACUGGCAUGCCAUGCUGUAAUAGAGUUAUCUUCCAUGUUACUUGGUCCCCUUACCUCUUGUGUAUGCAAUUUUAAUUGGGGGCUUGGCCUUGGGCUUAUCAGAAUGUAAUUUAGAGAAGUCCAAAUUUAUUGACUUGGGAGUUUGAAAUGUGUGAAGAGCAAUGCAGUGUCUAAAUUCCUCAAUUAUAAGACAUCUGAAAGAAGAAAAGCAAGUAUAUCUUAUCAAUCUAUUUGCUUCCCUUUUAGUUCAAUGCCAGAGUUGGUUUUUUUUUUCCCUUCUCUCUCUCUCUCUCUCUCUCUCACUCUUUAUGGGAUACUAAUCUUUUCCUCGGAAUUUGAAUACUGAGUAAUUUGUCUGCAAUUGUUGUGUUAAUGUUUGUUCACUAAAAUUUUGUCAUCCAUAUGAAGCACCGCUUAAUUAUUUAUUAAGGACCGAAUGUCUCUUAUGUGGGAAAAGCAAGUCCGAGCUUAAUGUCCAUGGAAUAUUUUUUUAGGAAGUUCUGCUUUUUUAUUUCCGAUGUUCACUAUAUGCUCC